rnacentral:lncRNA from 1 species
GGGGGGGGAUGCAGCACGUCCUUUAUUUAUAAAAGCCGGAGGGUUGGGGGGUGGGGGGGAGCCCGGGGGUGGCCCCGCUCCUGGGGAGCCACCGGCGGGGCUCGGGGGGGGCGGGGGGCGGCUGUCACGUGCGGGCGUUGCGCUCUGUCUCGGCCAAGCACUCCCGCACCAGCGCCCGCGCGUGGAUGAUCCCCCGCUUGAGCCGCUCCAUGGCGCUCUUGCUGCCGGCGUAGGUGGGCCGGAUCUCCCUGCCCAUCUCCUCGAUGACAGAGAGAAGGUCGCUGUAGGUGCUCUGCGAGCCCGGAGCGCCGGGCGGCUUCAUGGCCUGCACAUAGCCCAUGGAGGGCGGCCCGAAGUCGUUGAAGAGCGGGCGGAAGGCGGACGGCGAGGGGACGCUGGGAGCGGCGGCCGUGGCGGCGGGCCCCGGGGCGGGGCUGGCGCUGGGGGCGGGCGCGAUGGGUUUGUAGGACAUCCCCGCACCGCUCCCGAGCGGCUCUCCGUCCCGAGCGGCGGCCGCCGUGUGGGGAAGACGGAAG